rnacentral:rRNA from 1 species
CAAUAGCGUAUAUUAAAGUUGUUGCGGUUAAAAAGCUCGUAGUUGGAUUUCUGCUGAGAACGACCGGUCCGCCCUUUGGGUGUGUAUCUGGCUCUUUCUUGGCAUCUUCUUGGUGAACGUUGCUGCACUUGACUGUGUGGAGCGCUACCCAGGACUUUUACUUUGAGGAAAUUAGAGUGUUUCAAGCAGGCAUACGCCUUGAAUACAUUAGCAUGGAAUAAUAAGAUAGGACCUCGGUUCUAUUUUGUCGGUUUCUAGAGCUGAGGUAAUGAUUAAUAGGGAUAGUUGGGGGCAUUCGUAUUUAACUGUCAGAGGUGAAAUUCUUGGAUUUGUUAAAGACGGACUACUGCGAANGNAUUUGCNAAGGAUGUUUNCAUUG